rnacentral:rRNA from 1 species
CCCUUAGAUGUCCUGGGCCGCACGCGCGCUACACUGAGUGUCUGAGAUACGAGUCUGCCUGGUCCGGCAAGGUCUAGGUAAUCGCUAAAAGACACAUCAUGCUUGGGAUAGAUUAUUGCAAAUAUUAAUCUUGAACGAGGAAUUCCUAGUAAGCGCAAGUCAACAGCUUGCGUUGAUUACGUCCCUGCCCUUUGUACACACCGCCCGUCGCUACUACUGAUUGGAUGUUUAAGCGAGGUUCUCGAACUGCUAGCGACUUAGCUUCGGUGAAGUCGCAGUGUGGGAAGUGAACCUAGCUUUGGUGUCUAGAGGAAGUAAAAGUCGUAACA